UAUAAAGGGCCGGAACGGAACUUGCCGUGGCUGUGUGAGCGUGCGCGUGUGUUUGUGCGCGCGCGUGUGAGCCAGGGGUGUCCGUGUGUGUGAGAGAGUGUGAGUGUGAGUGUGAGUGUGUGAGGCGUCAGCCACCCUCUCCUCCCUACACGUUGAUCUUAUUCGAUCGGCCGGGCCCCGCCGGGCCGAGGUGAGAAGAAAGCACCGCGAAGCCCUCGGGCGCUGUGCGGCUGGGCCGGGGGGGAUGAGUCGAUCAGAUAGGCGAGGCCACGGCCGCUGAGCGCCCUGCGAUUCUGACCCGC